AAAGCGCAUGGCGGGGAUGCUAUACAUGCAGUCGAACGAGUUCUCGUUGAUGAUCGGUGCUUGCACCGAGAUUCAACAUGGAACGAGUGGCGGACGGGUGAGUAACACGUGGGUAACCUGCCCUUAAGUGGGGGAUAACAUUUGGAAACAGAUGCUAAUACCGCAUAGAUCCAAGAACCGCAUGGUUCUUGGCUGAAAGAUGGCGUAAGCUAUCGCUUUUGGAUGGACCCGCGGCGUAUUAGCUAGUUGGUGAGGUAAUGGCUCACCAAGGCGAUGAUACGUAGCCGAACUGAGAGGUUGAUCGGCCACAUUGGGACUGAGACACGGCCCAAACUCCUACGGGAGGCAGCAGUAGGGAAUCUUCCACAAUGGACGCAAGUCUGAUGGAGCAACGCCGCGUGAGUGAAGAAGGCUUUCGGGUCGUAAAACUCUGUUGUUGGAGAAGAAUGGUCGGCAGAGUAACUGUUGUCGGCGUGACGGUAUCCAACCAGAAAGCCACGGCUAACUACGUGCCAGCAGCCGCGGUAAUACGUAGGUGGCAAGCGUUAUCCGGAUUUAUUGGGCGUAAAGCGAGCGCAGGCGGUUUUUUAAGUCUGAUGUGAAAGCCCUCGGCUUAACCGAGGAAGCGCAUCGGAAACUGGGAAACUUGAGUGCAGAAGAGGACAGUGGAACUCCAUGUGUAGCGGUGAAAUGCGUAGAUAUAUGGAAGAACACCAGUGGCGAAGGCGGCUGUCUGGUCUGUAACUGACGCUGAGGCUCGAAAGCAUGGGUAGCGAACAGGAUUAGAUACCCUGGUAGUCCAUGCCGUAAACGAUGAAUGCUAGGUGUUGGAGGGUUUCCGCCCUUCAGUGCCGCAGCUAACGCAUUAAGCAUUCCGCCUGGGGAGUACGACCGCAAGGUUGAAACUCAAAGGAAUUGACGGGGGCCCGCACAAGCGGUGGAGCAUGUGGUUUAAUUCGAAGCAACGCGAAGAACCUUACCAGGUCUUGACAUCUUUUGAUCACCUGAGAGAUCAGGUUUCCCCUUCGGGGGCAAAAUGACAGGUGGUGCAUGGUUGUCGUCAGCUCGUGUCGUGAGAUGUUGGGUUAAGUCCCGCAACGAGCGCAACCCUUAUGACUAGUUGCCAGCAUUUAGUUGGGCACUCUAGUAAGACUGCCGGUGACAAACCGGAGGAAGGUGGGGAUGACGUCAAAUCAUCAUGCCCCUUAUGACCUGGGCUACACACGUGCUACAAUGGAUGGUACAACGAGUUGCGAGACCGCGAGGUCAAGCUAAUCUCUUAAAGCCAUUCUCAGUUCGGACUGUAGGCUGCAACUCGCCUACACGAAGUCGGAAUCGCUAGUAAUCGCGGAUCAGCACGCCGCGGUGAAUACGUUCCCGGGCCUUGUACACACCGCCCGUCACACCAUGAGAGUUUGUAACACCCGAAGCCGGUGGCGUAACCCUUUUAGGGAGCGAGCCGUCUAAGUGGACAAAAGAGGGG
rnacentral:rRNA from 1 species